rnacentral:misc_RNA from 1 species
UUUCCGUAGGUGAACCUGCGGAAGGAUCAUUACUGAAGUGAGUCUUCAUCAUUGAAGCUUCUUCCCAUUGUGCUGGCUUUGACCGUAUGUAAUGUUGGGGAUUAAACGUGGUUGAAAUUUAUUUUAGCCGUCCCCAACAAUUUAUCUUAUCCUUUAUUAAAUUGAACUGAACUCAUUUUGAGAUUACAUAAAAAAUAAUCUUUUAAUACAACUUUCAACAACGGAUCUCUUGGUUCUC